UACGAAGGGGCUAGCGUUGUUCGGAAUCACUGGGCGUAAAGGGCGCGUAGGCGGCUUUAUAAGUCGGGGGUGAAAGCCUGUGGCUCAACCACAGAAUUGCCUUCGAUACUGUAUGGCUUGAGACCGGAAGAGGUAAGUGGAACUGCGAGUGUAGAGGUGAAAUUCGUAGAUAUUCGCAAGAACACCAGUGGCGAAGGCGGCUUACUGGUCCGGUUCUGACGCUGAGGCGCGAAAGCGUGGGGAGCGAACAGG
rnacentral:rRNA from 1 species